GGCGGCUUUGGGGCUUUCAUAAUUCUUGUACUACUAUUGUUUUUUAUAUUAUUAUUAUUUAUUAUUUAUAUAUUUUUUAAAAGAAUUGGAAAGGUUUUAUCUGAGGCUCACUAGUACACAAGUGGUAGUUUGAAACACAUUUCUACGGACAUUUCUCUGAACUGCCAGCGCUAGGGACUAUGGAAAUAGAAUUUUCCAGUGGCGGUUAACUAAGGACUGCUUGUGGAAAUCUAUUUCGACAUGCGGUUCAGUUAAGACAACCGCCAGUGAAGACAUUUAUCCAUAAAAUAUAAAAUUGGGUUUUUAGGCCUUGUUUAGUUCCCACUAAAAUCCAAAAAGUUUUCAAGAUUCCCCAUCAUAUCGAAUCUUGCGGCACAUGCAUG
rnacentral:lncRNA from 1 species